CCUACGGGUGGCAGCAGUGGGGAAUAUUGAACAAUGGGGGAAACCCUGAUGCAGCGACGCCGCGUGAGUGAAGAAGUAUUUCGGUAUGUAUAGCUCUGUUAGCAGGGAAGAAAAUGACGGUACCUGACCAAGAAGCCCCGGCCAACUACGUGCCAGCAGCCGCGGGAAUACGUAGGGGGAAAGCGUUAUCCGGAUUUACUGGGUGUAAAGGGAGCGUAGACGGCAGGGCAAGUCUGGAGUGAAAGGCGGGGGCUCAACCCCCGGAGUGCUCUGGAAACUGCCAGGCUGGAGUGCAGGAGAGGUAAGUGGAAUUCCUAGUGUAGCGGUGAAAUGCGUAGAUAUUAGGAGGAACACCAGUGGCGAAGGCGGCUUACUGGACUGUAACUGACGUUGAGGCUCGAAAGCGUGGGGAGCAAACAGGAUUAGAUACCCCUGUAGUC
rnacentral:rRNA from 1 species